rnacentral:lncRNA from 1 species
AUGGUCCCUUCGUCUCCAGCAGCUUAUCGGCCACACCGCCCUACUCAGAGCCCCGGUACAGGGGUGGGGGGUGGGCCGGGGCUCUGUCACAACCAGGGAGGGGUCACCACAUCUCCUCUCGCGAGCGGGGUCGGGGCUGGGGCCGGAGGAGGGAUAGUGGGUGGGGUUGGCCCGAUGCCAGGAGGCCGAAUGGGGAAUUUCUUCGGCAGCAGAAGAGGCAAGGUUCCUGGUCCUCUGACGAUGAUGUCUCCCCCUCCUCAGGGUCCACCGAGUCCCCUGAUGAUAUCAUCACCCCCCCACUACCCCGCCCCCGCACCUCCCAUCCCCCUCCCAUCCUCCCCUUCCCCAUGCCCCUCCCCAUUGCCCAACCUCGGUCCCUCCGACUCGGGCGGAGUUGGAGGGGGAGGCGUUACGGUCGGGGGGCCGUCCAAGCUCCAGGCUUUACAUGCCCAGUACUGCCACGUCAACAGUGGAGGAGGCGGAGUCAGUGUUACUGGGCACCAGCAGCAGCAGACGCCACCUCCACCCUACCACCACCAUCACCGUUACCACAUGCAGAGCGUCCCGCAGCACCACGUUCUGUCGCACCGCUUCUCCGCACCCCAACGGCAAGGCCCGUCCGGCUGCGCGCUCUCUCAUAUCCAGCAGCAUCAGAGAUUGCAGCAAGGCCCCGCCCAGCACCCACGUUACAACAUGGCCCCCGGCUUUACCACGCCCCCACCACUGUCCCCACACUCCCCGGUCACCCCGACCACCCCACACGGACUCUACCAUCCGGGGCGGCCGGGUGGAGGCGCCAAACUCCCACUGACCAUCUCGCACUCCCAGCCCCACCCCCACGCUCACACACACUCUCACAACCACGCCGUGCACUCACACUCCCCACUCAGCCCCUCGCCAUCAGCAAACGCCUCCACCCACUUCACCUUCUCCACCCCACCGCCUCAGACCCCCUCAGCCCGUCUCGUGUCGCAGACACCUCCCCAACCUUACACACCCCAAUAUCCUCCACUAUCGUCCAUCCCGCCUCCCCCUCCACACUCCCCCUUACCUCCCCCGUCCACCGCCCCGCUCUCCCCGCUCCCCCCGGGAGGCGGUCCCAAAUCGAAGCCCGUCAGCCGGAUCAGCACGGUCGUUUGA